GUUGGAGAUGAUGCUUCUGAGGCUGCAUAUGGGAUGUGAGAACAGCUUGCUCUUGCCCAGCUUGAGGCCCUGGAGGGAUUUUCUUUUCACUGCAAGACUGACAACAGCUGUGAACACAUUUCUUGUUGGUGGCCGUGACUUCUGUUUUCAAGCACUUCCAAAGAUCCUCUUGGUUGCUGAGGACCGUUCUACACUCCUGCCUUCAUAGCCCUAAGGCCAGCCUAGGCCAUGCCUUCAUUUUCCAGGAUUCCAUGCAGGAACUCUUGGACUCCCAACAAGCUCCCAUCAGAGUUUAACAGGGCUAGACAAGUUGAAAUCCAAAAAUACAUCCUAAAGGAACAGUUCUCCAGGAUUGCAAGUGAGUUUUCAUUGUGUCUUAUAGAUGGUCUUGAAGCUGUAGAAGAACAAAUUGAGUAUAUUUUCCCAGGU